GGAUGAACGCUGGCGGCGUGCCUACUACAUGCAAGUCGAGCGAACAGACGAGGAGCUUGCUCCUCUGACGUUCGCGGCGGACGGGUGAGUAACACGUGGAUAACCUACCUAUAAGACUGGGAUAACUUCGGGAAACCGGAGCUAAUACCGGAUAAUAUAUUGAACCGCAUGGUUCAAUAGUGAAAGACGGUUUUGCUGUCACUUAUAGAUGGAUCCGCGCCGCAUUAGCUAGUUGGUAAGGUAACGGCUUACCAAGGCAACGAUGCGUAGCCGACCUGAGAGGGUGAUCGGCCACACUGGAACUGAGACACGGUCCAGACUCCUACGGGAGGCAGCAGUAGGGAAUCUUCCGCAAUGGGCGAAAGCUUGACGGAGCAACGCCGCGUGAGUGAUGAAGGUCUUCGGAUCGUAAAACUCUGUUAUUAGGGAAGAACAAAUGUGUAAGUAACUAUGCACGUCUUGACGGUACCUAAUCAGAAAGCCACGGCUAACUACGUG
rnacentral:rRNA from 1 species